GGGCGCUUAGCUCAGUUGGUAGAGCGCUACCCUUACAAGGUAGAUGUCACUGGUUCGAGCCCAGUAGUGCCCACCA
rnacentral:tRNA from 1 species